rnacentral:misc_RNA from 1 species
UGUAAACGUUAAAGAAAAAAUAAUGCCUAUGCCAGUAGGAAUUUUUGUUGGCCCAGGUAAACCACAUUGCGUCGAGAACUUUUUUAAAGACUUUGUUGAGGAAGUUAAUGUUUUAAAUGGUAGCCUUAAUAUUUCGGGUAAGACUAUUGCUUUACAAUUUCGAAACUUGUGCUGUGAUACACCAGCAAAGUCGUUUGUUUGCUGUGUUCCGGGACAUACCUCUGCACAUGGGUGCACAAAAUGCACACAGGUGGCCAAAAAAAUCAAUAACACACUUACAUACAGCACAGUUUGCGGAAAUUUAAUUUCAGAUGAAGAUUUUGCAACAAGAAAAUAUCCUGAGCAUCAUAACCAAUCGUUUUUGAGAAAACAAUCGCCACUGGAAAAAAUAGGAAUAAAAAUGAUUACGCAAACACCAUUAGACAGCAUGCACCUAAUAGAUUUAGGUGUUAUGAAAAAAAUGCUUAUUCGGAUAAUUAAUAGAAAAACCGCAAACAAAACUUCUAAAGCGAAUAUUUCUAAUAUUUCGUCAAAGUUAGUUAACAUGCGAAAAUGGAUUCCAAAAGAAUUUCCGAGAAAACAAAGAACUUUGGAUGACAUACACAACUGGAAAGCAACUGAGUUUCAUCAGUUUUUAGCAUACACAGGCAUAAUUGCACUAUAUGAAAAUGUACACCAAGACAUUUAUUACACUUUUUUGGUUCUUCAUUGUGCAUAUAGAUUGCUUUGUAGUCCCCUCCAAAUAGUUUCCAAUAUUAGUCAAGGAAACGAACUUCUACAGUUAUUCGUUGAAAAUUUCCCAAUUGUUUUUGGCGAAAACAGUGUAUCAUUCAAUGUACAUAAUCUUCUACAUGUAGCACCCUGCGCCGAGAAAUAUGGAACACUUCCUUCAUUUUCCGCAUACGAAUUUGAAAAUAAAUUGCAGAUUCUGAAGAAACACGUACGAAAACCAACGGCGAUUCUUCAACAAAUUGUAAAUAAGGAAAAACAUGAAACGCUUAGAAAACCAGAAAAAAAUAACUUUGUUUACGCUGGAGAUAGAAUAGUUGGCGCAUUUAUUAAUAACUGUUAUUUUUCAACAAAAACCCCAAACAACUUUUGCUCAUUACUUACACACACUCCAAUAAAAAUUGAGAAAUUUAUAGUAGGAGAUGAAAAUAUGAUUGAAGGACGAUGUAUUUUAAAUACAGAGAGUUUUUUUGAAGAGCCUUUAGACUCUGUCCAGCUCGGAAUAUAUCAGACAGAUCUACAAUUAGGUGCCAUCGAAAGAUUUCCACUUAAAGAUAUUCAUUACAAGUUUAUUUGCCUGCCAUUUGAAAAUAAUUUCUUACUUCUUCCUCUUUUGCACAGUUUCUAAACACAAAAAUGCCAAACGAGUGCGGCCCACAGCCUUCAGAGGCGAAAUUAAAAUAUUAUCCAAAAGGUAGGUUUUUUAUAGCAUUUAAUUGAUUUUAUAUACAUAAAUAAUUUACUAACCGUUAAUUUUCUCUAAAUUUUUAUUUUUAGUCAACAAAAAGUGUAGUCAUUGUGAAGAGCUCACUAUUAAAGUUCAAAAUUUAGAAGGUACUAUAGAGCGGCAAAAUAACAGCAUAAUUGAAAUUUUAGCUGAACAUAAAGUCCUGCUUUCAAAAAUAAUUUCACAAAAUAACGUUCUAGACGACAUCAUGGGAAUAUUUCCUAUCAAAUCAGAGGAGAAAUUAAGAGAUUUAAAUUCAUUGAUCCAGUCGCAGGCAGAUCCUUAUGUAAGUAUACCUCUUAAAUUAAAAAAUAAAAGCUUUAAUCUUUGCCUUUUUGUAGUUACGACGAAUGAAAUCGAUAUUGAAAGGAAAUGUUGGGCGAUACCUAAAUGAAAUUUUGGGACAGAAUAUAAUCAUGGAUUUUAACGUAGAUGGUACGCAUGGAAAACAGAGUCUCAAAAAAUUUGAAAACUUUUAUUCUGCAUUGAUAGGUAAAUUUAUCUAUAAAUUUCUUUAUCGUUAAAAGCUUUGCAUAACGUAUAUAUUUAUUUCGUUAUUUAGAUGUCAUUGCUGUAUUUUCUGAUGAUCCUGAUACUACAUUGAGAAAAGCCUUUCAAUCACAGAAAAAAAGACUGUUUAAAGCCAACCGUUUGGAAAAAUUGAAGAAAGAACAAACCGUAGAAGCUGUUAACGAGCCAUCUA